GUGAGUCUGAAAUAGAAUAGAGAUAGAUUUGAGUCUGACUGAUAGAACAGAGAUAGAUUGGAGAGGUGAGUCUGACAUAGAAUAGAGAUAGAUUGGAGUCUGACUGAUAGAACAGAGAUAGAUUGGAGAGGUGAGUCUGACUGAUAGAAUAGAGAUAGAUUGGAGAGGUGAGUCUGACUGGUAGAACAGAGAUAGAUUGGAGUCUGACUGAUAGAAUAGAGAUAGAUUGGAGAGGUGAGUCUGACUGAUAGAACAGAGAUAGAUUGGAGAGGUGAGUCUGACUGAUAGAAUAGAGAUAGAUUGGAGAGGUGAGUCUGACUGAUAGAAUAGAGAUAGAUUGGAGCGGUGAGUCUGACUGAUAGAAUAGAGAUAGAUUGGAGAGGUGAGUCUGACUGAUAGAAUAGAGAUAGAUUGGAAAGGUGAGUCUGACUGAUAGAAUAGAGAUAGAUUGGAGAGGUGAGUCUGACUGAUAGAAUAGAGAUAGAUUGGAGUCUGACUGAUAUAACAGAGAUAGAUUGAAGAGGUGAGUCUGACUGAUAGAAUAGAGAUAGAUUGGAGAGGUGAGUCUGACUGAUAGAAUAGAGAUAGAUUGGAGCGGUGAGUCUGACUGAUAGAAUAGAGAUAGAUUGGAAAGGUGAGUCUGACUGAUAUAAUAGAGAUAGAUUGGAGCAGUGAGUCUGACUGAUAGAAUAGAGAUAGAUUGGAGUGGUGAGUCUGACUGAUAGAAUAGAGAUAGAUUGGAGAGGUGAGUCUGACUGAUAGAAUAGAGAUAGAUUGGAGAGGUGAGUCUGACUGAUAGAAUAGAGAUAGAUUGGAGAGGUGAGUCUGACUGAUAGAAUAGAGAUAGAUUGGAGAGGUGAGUCUGACAUAGAAUAGAGAUAGAUUGGAGAGGUGAGCCUGACUGAUAGAAUAGAGAUAGAUUGGAGCGGUGAGUCUGACUGAUAGAAUAGAGAUAGAUUGGAGAGGUGAGUCUGACUGAUAGAAUAGAGAUAGAUUGGAAAGGUGAGUCUGACUGAUAGAAUAGAGAUAGAUUGGAGAGGUGAGUCUGACUGAUAGAAUAGAGAUAGAUUGGAGUCUGACUGAUAUAACAGAGAUAGAUUGAAGAGGUGAGUCUGACUGAUAGAACAGAGAUAGAUUGGAGCGGUGAGUCUGACUGAUAGAAUAGAGAUAGAUUGGAGUCUGACUGAUAGAACAGAGAUAGAUUGGAGCGGUGAGUCUGACUGAUAGAAUAGAGAUAGAUUGGAGAGGUGAGUCUGACUGAUAGAAUAGAGAUAGAUUGGAGCGGUGAGUCUGACUGAUAGAAUAGAGAUAGAUUGGAGAGGUGAGUCUGACUGAUAGAAUAGAGAUAGAUUGGAGAGGUGAGUCUGACUGAUAGAAUAGAGAUAGAUUGGAGAGGUGAGUCUGACUGAUAGAACAGAGAUAGAUUGGAGUCUGACUGAUAGAAUAGAGAUAGAUUGGAGAGGUGAGUCUGACUGAUAGAACAGAGAUAGAUUGGAGAGGUGAGUCUGACUGAUAGAAUAGAGAUAGAUUGGAGAGGUGAGUCUGACUGAUAGAAUAGAGAUAGAUUGGAGAGGUGAGUCUGACUGAUAGAAUAGAGAUAGAUUGGAGAGGUGAGUCUGACUGAUAGAACAGAGAUAGAUUGGAGUCGUGAGUCUGACUGAUAGAACAGAGACAGAUUGGAGAGGUGAGUCUGACUGAUAUAACAGAGGUAGAUUGGAGCGGUGAGUCUGACUGAUAGAACAGAGAUAGAUUGGAGAGGUGAGUCUGACAUAGAAUAGAGAUAGAUUGGAGUCUGACUGAUAGAACAGAGAUAGAUUGGAGAGGUGAGUCUGACUGAUAGAACAGAGAUAGAUUGGAGAGGUGAGUCUGACAUAGAAUAGAGAUAGAUUGGAGAGGUGAGUCUGACAUAGAAUAGAGAUAGAUUGGAGUCUGACUGAUAGAACAGAGAUAGAUUGGAGAGGUGAGUCUGACAUAGAAUAGAGAUAGAUUGGAGUCUGACUGAUAGAACAGAGAUAGAUUGGAGAGGUGAUUCUGACUGAUAGAAUAGAGAUAGAUUGGAGCGGUGAGUCUGACUGAUAGAAUAGAGAUAGAUUGGAAAGGUGAGUCUGACUGAUAGAAUAGAGAUAGAUUGGAGCGGUGAGUCUGACUGAUAGAACAGAGAUAGAUUGGAGUCUGACUGAUAGAAUAGAGAUAGAUUGGAGAGGUGAGUCUGACUGAUAGAACAGAGAUAGAUUGGAGAGGUGAGUCUGACUGAUAGAACAGAGAUAGAUUGGAGAGGUGAGUCUGACUGAUAGAAUAGAGAUAGAUUGGAGAGGUGAGUCUGACUGAUAGAACAGAGAUAGAUUGGAGUCUGACUGAUAGAACAGAGAUAGAUUGGAGCGGUGAGUCUGACUGAUAGAAUAGAGAUAGAUUGGAGAGGUGAGUCUGACUGAUAGAAUAGAGAUAGAUUGGAGUCUGACUGAUAGAAUAGAGAUAGAUUGGAGAGGUGAGUCUGACUGAUAGAAUAGAGAUAGAUUGGAGAGGUGAGUCUGACUGAUAGAACAGCGAUAGAUUGGAGCGGUGAGUCUGACUGAUAGAAUAGAGAUAGAUUGGAGAGGUGAGUGAGUGAUAGAAUAGAGAUAGAUUGGAGAGGUGAGUCUGACUGAUAGAACAGAGAUAGAUUGGAGAGGUGAGUCUGAUUGAUAUAACAGAGAUAGAUUGGAGCGGUGAGUCUGACUGAUAGAACAGAGAUAGAUUGGAGAGGUGAGUCUGACUGAUAGAACAGAGAUAGAUUGGAGAGGUGAGUCUGACAUAGAAUAGAGAUAGAUUGGAGAGGUGAGUCUGACAUAGAAUAGAGAUAGAUUGGAGUCUGACUGAUAGAAUAGAGAUAGAUUGGAGAGGUGAGUCUGACUGAUAGAACAGAGAUAGAUUGGAGAGGUGAGUCUGACAUAGAAUAGAGAUAGAUUGGAGUCUGACUGAUAGAACAGAGAUAGAUUGGAGAGGUGAGUCUGACAUAGAAUAGAGAUAGAUUGGAGUCUGACUGAUAGAACAGAGAUAGAUUGGAGAGGUGAGUCUGACUGAUAGAAUAGAGAUAGAUUGGAGCGGUGAGUCUGACUGAUAGAACAGAGAUAGAUUGGAGCGGUGAGUCUGACUGAUAGAAUAGAGAUAGAUUGGAGCGGUGAGUCUGACUGAUAUAAUAGAGAUAGAUUGGAGCGGUGAGUCUGACUGAUAGAAUAGAGAUAGAUUGGAGUGGUGAGUCUGACUGAUAGAAUAGAGAUAGAUUGGAGCGGUGAGUCUGACUGAUAGAACAGAGAUAGAUUGGAGUCUGACUGAUAGAAUAGAGAUAGAUUGGAGAGGUGAGUCUGACUGAUAGAAUAGAGAUAGAUUGGAGUCUGACUGAUAGAAUAGAGAUAGAUUGGAGAGGUGAGUCUGAAUGAUAGAACAGAGAUAGAUUGGAGCGGUGAGUCUGACUGAUAGAAUAGAGAUAGAUUGGAGAGGUGAGUGACUGAUAGAAUAGAGAUAGAUUGGAGAGGUGAGUCUGACUGAUAUAAUAGAGAUAGAUUGGAGAGGUGAGUCUGACUGAUAGAACAGAGAUAGAUUGGAGAGGUGAGUCUGACAUAGAAUAGAGAUAGAUUGGAGAGAUGAGUCUGAC
rnacentral:lncRNA from 1 species